CUGGCGAGUAGAAGCGGUUAGUGCCAGCGAUGGCAUAGGACAUUGCUCUUGCG
rfam:Pseudomonas sp. MF4836 contig001, whole genome shotgun sequence.